rnacentral:lncRNA from 1 species
GAGCAUUUGAGCCAAGAAAGAUUAAAUUUGAAGUCAAACUACUUGAGAAAAAUAUGUUUGAAGAAGUCAAGUCAACUCUUAUUGAAAUCAAGCUAACUCCGACAUGAUCUGGACACUAGCACAAUAAUUUAAUACAAAGUCGAGCCUGCUCGAAGAAGAUCCGAGCCAACUCUUCCAGAUAGACAGAAAUGUGAUUUUCAAAUUUCUGAGAUCGAGCCAACUCGAAAUCAAUCCGAGCCGACUAUCUCAAAGGGACAGAG